rnacentral:rRNA from 1 species
GACGAACGCUGGCGGCGUGCCUAAUACAUGCAAGUAGAACGCACAGUUUAUACCGUAGCUUGCUACACCAUAGACUGUGAGUUGCGAACGGGUGAGUAACGCGUAGGUAACCUGCCUGGUAGCGGGGGAUAACUAUUGGAAACGAUAGCUAAUACCGCAUAAUAUUAAUUAUUGCAUGAUAAUUAAUUGAAAGGUGCAAUUGCACCACUACCAGAUGGACCUGCGUUGUAUUAGCUAGUAGGUGAGGUAACGGCUCACCUAGGCGACGAUACAUAGCCGACCUGAGAGGGUUAUCGGCCACACUGGGACUGAGACACGGCCCAGACUCCUACGGGAGGCAGCAGUAGGGAAUCUUCGGCAAUGGACGAAAGUCUGACCGAGCAACGCCGCGUGAGUGAAGAAGGUUUUCGGAUCGUAAAGCUCUGUUGUAAGAGAAGAACGGGUGUGAGAGUGGAAAGUUCACACUGUGACGGUAUCUUACCAGAAAGAGACGGCUAACUACGUG